AGAGUUUGAUCCUGGCUCAGAUUGAACGCUGGCGGCAUGCUUUACACAUGCAAGUCGAACGGCAGCACGGGGGCAACCCUGGUGGCGAGUGGCGAACGGGUGAGUAAUAUAUCGGAACGUACCCGGAAAUGGGGGAUAACGUAGCGAAAGUUACGCUAAUACCGCAUAUGCCCUAAGGGGGGAAGCGGGGGAUUCGCAAGAACCUCGCGUUUUCGGAGCGGCCGAUAUCGGAUUAGCUAGUAGGUGAGGUAAAGGCUCACCUAGGCGACGAUCCGUAGCUGGUCUGAGAGGACGACCAGCCACACUGGAACUGAGACACGGUCCAGACUCCUACGGGAGGCAGCAGUGGGGAAUUUUGGACAAUGGGCGCAAGCCUGAUCCAGCCAUGCCGCGUGAGUGAAGAAGGCCUUCGGGUUGUAAAGCUCUUUCAGCCGGAAAGAAAACGCACGGGUUAAUAACCUGUGUGGAUGACGGUACCGGAAGAAGAAGCACCGGCUAACUACGUGCCAGCAGCCGCGGUAAUACGUAGGGUGCGAGCGUUAAUCGGAAUUACUGGGCGUAAAGCGUGCGCAGGCGGUUUUGUAAGACAGAUGUGAAAUCCCCGGGC
rnacentral:rRNA from 1 species